rnacentral:rRNA from 1 species
AGAUUGAACUGAAGAGUUUGAUCCUGGCUCAGAUUGAACGCUGGCGGCAUGCUUUACACAUGCAAGUCGAACGGCAGCGCGGGGGCAACCCUGGCGGCGAGUGGCGAACGGGUGAGUAAUACAUCGGAACGUGUCCCGUAGUGGGGGAUAACCCGGCGAAAGCCGGACUAAUACCGCAUAUGCUCUACGGAGGAAAGUGGGGGACCCGCAAGGGCCUCAUGCUAUGGGAGCGGCCGAUGUCCGAUUAGCUUGUUGGCGGGGUAACGGCCCACCAAGGCGACGAUCGGUAGCUGGUCUGAGAGGAUGAUCAGCCACACUGGGACUGAGACACGGCCCAGACUCCUACGGGAGGCAGCAGUGGGGAAUUUUGGACAAUGGGGGCAACCCUGAUCCAGCCAUGCCGCGUGAGU